rnacentral:rRNA from 1 species
AACGAACGCUGGCGGCAUGCCUAACACAUGCAAGUCGAGCGAGACCUUCGGGUCUAGUGGCGCACGGGUGCGUAACGCGUGGGAAUCUGCCCUUCGGUUCGGAAUAACUCAGGGAAACUUGAGCUAAUACCGGAUAAUGACGUAAGUCCAAAGAUUUAUCGCCGAAGGAUGAGCCCGCGUAGGAUUAGCUUGUUGGUGGGGUAAAUGGCCCACCAAGGCGACGAUCCUUAGCUGGUCUGAGAGGAUGAUCAGCCACACUGGGACUGAGACACGGCCCAGACUCCUACGGGAGGCAGCAGUGGGGAAUAUUGGACAAUGGGGCGAAAAGCCUGAUCCAGCAAUGCCGCGUGAGUGAUGAAGGCCUUAGGGUUGUAAAGCUCUUUUACCCGGGAUGAUAAUGACAGUACCGGGAGAAUAAGCUCCGGCUAAACUCCGUGCCAGCAGCCGACGGUAA